rnacentral:tRNA from 1 species
GCAGGGGCUAAGAGGUGUGGCUCUUGUUUAGGGCUUUGAAGGCCCUCGGUUUGGUUUAUCCUAAUCCCCUA